UAAAUAAAAAAAAAAAAAAAAAAAAA
rnacentral:rRNA from 1 species